UACGUAGGGUGCGAGCGUUAAUCGGAAUUACUGGGCGUAAAGCGUGCGCAGGCGGUUUUGUAAGCCAGAUGUGAAAUCCCCCGGGCUUAACCUGGGAAUGGCAUUUGGGACUGCAAGGCUUGAGUUUGGCAGAGGAGACUGGAAUUCCUGGUGUAGCAGUGAAAUGCGUAGAUAUCAGGAGGAAUACCGAUGGCGAAGGCAGGUCUCUGGGCUAGAACUGACGCUCAUGCACGAAAGCGUGGGGAGCAAACAGG
rnacentral:rRNA from 1 species